rnacentral:pre_miRNA from 1 species
UGUGCAGUUGCUGGGUUACAUGGUAGUUGCAUACUAAGUUUUAUAAGAAAUUGCCAAAUUGUUUUCCAGAGUGGUUGUACCAUUUUACAUUCCUAUCAGCAAU